rnacentral:rRNA from 1 species
AGAGUUUGAUCCUGGCUCAGGAUGAACGCUGGCGGCGUGCCUAAUACAUGCAAGUCGAGCGAACAGAUAAGGAGCUUGCUCCUUUGACGUUAGCGGCGGACGGGUGAGUAACACGUGGGUAACCUACCUAUAAGACUGGGAUAACUUCGGGAAACCGGAGCUAAUACCGGAUAACAUUUGGAACCGCAUGGUUCUAAAGUGAAAGAUGGUUUUGCUAUCACUUAUAGAUGGACCCGCGCCGUAUUAGCUAGUUGGUAAGGUAACGGCUUACCAAGGCAACGAUACGUAGCCGACCUGAGAGGGUGAUCGGCCACACUGGAACUGAGACACGGUCCAGACUCCUACGGGAGGCAGCAGUAGGGAAUCUUCCGCAAUGGGCGAAAGCCUGACGGAGCAACGCCGCGUGAGUGAUGAAGGGUUUCGGCUCGUAAAACUCUGUUAUUAGGGAAGAACAAACGUGUAAGUAACUGUGCACGUCUUGACGGUACCUAAUCAGAAAGCCACGGCUAACUACGUGCCAGCAGCCGCGGUAAUACGUAGGUGGCAAGCGUUAUCCGGAAUUAUUGGGCGUAAAGCGCGCGUAGGCGGUUUCUUAAGUCUGAUGUGAAAGCCCACGGCUCAACCGUGGAGGGUCAUUGGAAACUGGGAAACUUGAGUGCAGAAGAGGAAAGUGGAAUUCCAUGUGUAGCGGUGAAAUGCGCAGAGAUAUGGAGGAACACCAGUGGCGAAGGCGACUUUCUGGUCUGUAACUGACGCUGAUGUGCGAAAGCGUGGGGAUCAAACAGGAUUAGAUACCCUGGUAGUCCACGCCGUAAACGAUGAGUGCUAAGUGUUAGGGGGUUUCCGCCCCUUAGUGCUGCAGCUAACGCAUUAAGCACUCCGCCUGGGGAGUACGACCGCAAGGUUGAAACUCAAAGGAAUUGACGGG